AAGUUUUGAGGUCUUCUUCGAUAAGAAUUAACAUAUUAUUAAAUCCAGAGAGGAGACCGACAAAGAUUGUCAUUGACUCGAUGGCUGCUGCCUUAUGUAUGGAUUUGAAUUAUGCUCACGAGUUAAAAACACUUUACACUUAUUAUUCACUAUAAUUUCUCUAAGGACAACAAUAAUGCCUCAUUGUUGAGCUUUUCUUCGCCUUG